GAUGAACGCUAGCUACAGGCUUAACACAUGCAAGUCGAGGGGAAACGAUAUUGGAAGCUUGCUUCCGAUAGGCGUCGACCGGCGCACGGGAGAGUAACGCGUAUCCAACCUGCCCACCACUUGGGGAUAACCUUGCGAAAGUAAGACUAAUACCCAAUGAUAUCUCUAGAAGACAUCUGAAAGGGAUUAAAGAUUUAUCGGUGAUGGAUGGGGAUGCGUCUGAUUAGCUUGUUGGCGGGGUAACGGCCCACCAAGGCUACGAUCAGUAGGGGUUCUGAGAGGAAGGUCCCCCACAUUGGAACUGAGACACGGUCCAAACUCCUACGGGAGGCAGCAGUGAGGAAUAUUGGUCAAUGGGCGAGAGCCUGAACCAGCCAAGUAGCGUGCAGGAUGACGGCCCUAUGGGUUGUAAACUGCUUUUAUAAGGGAAUAAAGUGAGUCUCGUGAGACUUUUUGCAUGUACCUUAUGAAUAAGGACCGGCUAAUUCCGUGCCAGCAGCCGCAGUAA
rnacentral:rRNA from 1 species